AUUGAACGCUGGCGGCAGGCCUAACACAUGCAAGUCGAGCGGAUGAAGGGAGCUUGCUCCUGGAUUCAGCGGCGGACGGGUGAGUAAUGCCUAGGAAUCUGCCUGAUAGUGGGGGAUAACGUCCGGAAACGGGCGCUAAUACCGCAUACGUCCUGAGGGAGAAAGUGGGGGAUCUUCGGACCUCACGCUAUCAGAUGAGCCUAGGUCGGAUUAGCUAGUUGGUGGGGUAAAGGCCUACCAAGGCGACGAUCCGUAACUGGUCUGAGAGGAUGAUCAGUCACAGUGGAACUGAGACCCGGCCCAGACUCCUCCGGGAGGCAGCAGGGGGGAAUAUUGGACAUGGGGCGAAACUCUGACCCAGCCAGGCCGGGUGUGGGAAGAAGGUCUUCGGAUUGUAAAGCAUUUUAGGUGGGGAGGAAGGGAAGUAAGUUAAUACCUUCGUGUUUUGCCGUAACCAAAAGAAAAAGCCCCGGCUAACUUCGUG
rnacentral:rRNA from 1 species